CCUGUAUUUCCUACUGGUGAGGGACGGAAGGAGAAUGAGAUUCCAGGAACAAGGGAUGGUGGUAAUACUGUGCCACUUUGGGCACAAAAGAGAGCUUUCAGAUGUCAGUUACUAUUAGGCUCAUGCAGCACCGUAAGUCCUCAGAGCAGAGGUUGUGUUCCAGGAGCAGUGCAGCAUUUAGAUAUAACCCAAUGGCAUGGGCUCUGUCACAAACAUAGAUUGAAUAUAUGAGAAUGAUCUGCUGAAGAAAGAAAGAAAAAAUCAUAGUGAAUGCUCCUGGUAGGUUGUGCUUACACCAGGAACUGCAAGCAUUUCAGCAUGAGUGCAUGAGCACUUUGAGGCAGCUAGUCAGCUUAUGGUGAUGGAGUUGGGUUACUUUGCUGUGGCCUCCUCUGAGGCACGUGGGUUGUGAGGUCUGAUAAGAACUUCUACGUGCAAUCAUACUGUGAGCUGGACAGAGGUUCAAUUCCCAUUGCUUCACAGGGCCAAUUGCAGAGAGUGAGACCAAAGCACGGCUGGGAUUCCUGGAUUCAGUCUGCCUCCUGUGCCACAGGUGAUGUGCCCUCUGGUGAGAUGCAGUGUGGAAUGAUCCCAUGAUGUAGGUGAGGAUUUCGGAGGGGGUCUCCAGGGAACAGACAGUGACAUUGUUCUGUCUCAGCCUGCCCAGGAGCCGUUCCGCUGCACAGGUACAGUAUAUAGCAUGCUGGAUGUUAAUUCAAAUUUCAUGUACAUUUUGAAAGAGCUGAAUGUGGCCUUUGUGUAACGCUUUGGCUCACAAGGGCUUUUUCAUAAGAAAUUCUAUUUAAAUGGAAUAGAAAACUUUCUGAUAGUUACCAAACACCACAAAACAAUGGCAGGCUAUAUCUGUUCAUCAUCAUCAGCCAUUCAUUUAUCCUAGGAAGGAAUUUCUUGUUGAUAAUCCUGAGUGAAGGCUUGCUUGUUCGCAUGACUGGAUGAGAUCCAGGAACGAUAGCACCUUGCUGAAACCUUUAAGUGUCAAGCUGAAACUGCAUCAGAGAAAUAACGAAGCUGAGCCCCAGGAGUGCCACUGGACCCUGUGGCUUGUGCUGCCCUGCCCAGGUGUGUGCCUCACCUCUUCUCACACAUGCAUUCCUGGGCAGCCAGGGCCACUGCCUCAUACACUUUGCGUCAGAAAAUGUUCCCCAGACUCUAACCUGGCUCUUCUUCAGCUCAUUCAUUUUUAUCCUGUGUCUGGAGAGGUGACAACUGGCUUGUUAAGUGGGUGCUUUUCCCCACAUGCAAACCAAUGGUCACAGCCAACCUCAGGAGAAAGGAGGGCAGCUCCGUGCAGCCAUCUCAGUGCCACAUGCAGUUCAGGUUUCAGGUGCAAGCCUGCCUAAAAGAAUGUAGUAAGAAAGGAAGGUUUCUUUCUUAAUGCUGUUGGACGUGGUCCAGGCCUCUGUAGAAAAACCCCAAGUUAGAUCCUGAACGAAUUAAUGCAUCAGCCAGCUCCAACAAAGCCUUCUAGGGAGGUGAUAAGACUGCAUAGUAAAUAUUUUACCAAGGGAUAGGCAGGAAUAUCUGAACUGCUCUGGGGCAAACAAGCAGCUGAGCUCGUAUCAAGAGCACCCAGCAAAGCACCAUGCUGAGGAUGGUGUACGACCUUGUGCAACCCCAAAGAGGUGGCAACGCUUCAGUGGCGAGUGUCCAUCCUGCUGCAGGUGAGCAGCUGGGGAUGUUCCAAGACUGCAUGUGCAUUCCCUAGCCGCUGUCACAAUGAAUAGCAUUCUCCUCUCCUGUGAUGAUCUAGGCUUCCAGAAGAGCUCACGUUCUCCUCCUGGAUGUUAAAUGGUUUUGAAAACAUUUUGUCACCUCUUAAUGGGAACCAAAAGUUCUGAUGACUUCGGAAUGGGUGGAAGCAUUUUGAAAGAGCAGAAGAUCCAAAAGACUGUGAUGAAAACUUGAAGGAGCAUAAAUCUCUUUCCAGACUGCUCAUGAGCAGAACAGUAAAAGAUGUAUGUUGCAAAGGUAAUUCAAUGCAUGUCUCAAUUCCAGGGAAAAAGGUGCUCAAAGAUAAACUAUUCCUUAAAACUUCAACUAAGGGUUUCUAGAAUCAAAAAUAUUUUCGAAGAUUGUAGUGUAGUUGGAUGGGCAGCUUGUUCCAACCACCAGGAUGCUUUUAUGUGCAUUCAUGAAUAAAACCCACUUCCUCCAACCCUGCGACAACAGGGCAAUAAACGGGAACAUCUCUCCAGGGCCCUGCGUGGUCUGAGUCUGAAGCAGUGUUACUCAGCCUGAGAGCCAGACAGCAGCAAGGCCAAACAACACAAAGAGAAGGAGAAAUGGAGGGAGAAGGAAAAAAAAAAAAAAGAUAAAAUGCAUAGCGUUGGGCUUGAUGUUCCUUCAAUGGGAGUAUGAACUUUAUGGCUUUGCUGCACAAAACUGUUGGUGUUGUUCAAAGAGAAUAGGUGACCAGUGGACAAAGAUUCCCUUACCAACAGCUGUUAAUCAGCAACUCACAAGACUAGGAGCAGCCACAUGAGACUUACACAAAAGAAGAUCAGCCUGAAGUACAACCUGAAUCCACUGAUCCCAUUUCUGCUCUGUAUUUAACAGUACCAUUAUGGAGUACAUAAUUCAAUGUCUUCUGAAGCCAUGAGAAAUGUUUUCUACCUACGUGCUAAGACCAAUGGUGGUUGUAGAUCAAUCCCGAAGGACCAAAUCUAAACCAUUUACUUUGACUAGCCUACAGCAGGCCUGGACAAGAUUUUAGUAAUACAGUGCUUUAUAACAGUAAUUCUGUCUAAUGAAGAAGAGUCAUGAUGAAACUGCUUCAUGCUCUUAAAAUAUUCUCCAUUAUAUUACUCAUGCUCUUUGAAAUAUCUAUUAAUUUUUUCUUCUCCUCUUUUGAAUGUUUGACAGUGCAGUCACAGGCUGUUCCUUCUGUAGUGGAAAUUAAGAGACAGACCAGGUCUAUCCCUCAAGAGCCAGCAAUUGCACUACACCUGAAGUAAGAACAGCUGGAGUGGAAGGCAUCAGUCAUGCCAGAAGCCAUGCUGUGGGACAUCUGGUACCAAUGCACACAGCUAGAGGAUAGAAAAGCCAGGGGGAUUAUGCAUUGUCUCCUUUUUCUUCCUCUCCUCUCCUCUCCUCUCCUCUCCUCUCCUCUCCUCUCCUCUCCUCUCCUCUCCUCUCCUCUCCUCUCCUCUCCUCUCCUCUCCUCUCCUCUCCUCUCCUCUCCUCUCCUCUCCUCUCCUCUCCUCUCCUCUCCUCUCCUCUCCUCUCCUCUCCUCUCCUCUCCUCUCCUCUCCUCUCCUCUCCUCUCCUCUCCUCUCCUCUUCUCUAUUUCAUUCUGCAGAGCACAUGUAGCAUCAUAAACAAAGCAAGAAAAAAAAAAAUGAAGUGCUGGUAAACAAGACUCCAGAUGGAAACCCCAUCUCAAAAACUGAGUUUGAGAGGAGAUCAAUGGUCUGUCUCUCAAAACUGAAGAGGGGAAUGAACAGCUAAGGACCCAGUAUCCUCCACCCCAGCUCUCCUGCCUGCAGCAAUUCUAAGGCAAGGUGAAUACUUUCCCCACAGGGAGUUGUCACUAUGAUGGCAUCAUAGGAAACAGCCACGACUUUCUGUAGGGCAGAGCUGUGCAGCCUUCAGAGAUAUUCUGAGAUGCUCUUGGCCUGAGACGGAACUUGUUGUGGGGAAUCACAGAAGGAAGGAGUUUCAGAGAAUCAUAGAAUCACUGAAUCAUAGAACCAUAGAAUUGUUAAGGUUGGAAAAGACCUUUAAGAUCAACUUGUUCAAUCUGUGAAUGUCAGAAGGCAGAUGGGGGUAGAUGCCACAGUACAUUUGCUGCAGUACCUAACUCAGAAACCUCUUUGGUGCUUGUUUGCUGAAAGCUGGAAGAACAUUUGAGUGUAAGGAUGAUUCUGUUCUGGUCUAUAUCUGAUAUGCUCUCCGUAAGUAUUUCCUACGUGGCAGAAAAUAAUUACCAGAGUAAGUGAGCUUCCAGCCAGAUAUGAGGAACCUAAUAAAUUGUGAUGACUGUAGGAAGUAGCAGGGGAUGGCAAGAAGGUAACCAGUCCCCCUCUGACUCGCAAGGCAGAUCAGCUUGUUUCUGUACCACUUUCCCAGGGACCCUCGAUACCUCUCUUUCAUGAAAGAGGACAGCUCCCCAAAUAACCCCCUCAACAUCUCACACCCAUCCCUCGGCAGGAAUUAGCCUCCUUUCUUUACACAGUAAAAAUUGAUUCAGGUCUGUGUUAUCUUGCAUCUUGAAAACAGCCUCCUUUCCUUUGCCUUUGGCCACAUCUGCCUUAAUGCAGCUGGACCAUCUAGGUCAAUUAUCCCUAGUGGGAUCUCCAUCGUGAUUUCUUUUGACCAUCAUUUUACUGCAGUAUUGAACACAACCUUGUCUUUGUCCUAAAGGCCCAUCGUGGCUUAGUCACCUACUCAUUUUUCCUAGCAAACCUGUCUUCUAUUAUCACCUUCAUGCACUUCCUUGAUUGGAUAGUCAUUAACUUCCUCUACGGGUAGAGAGGUUUUCUCAAAACUCAUAUCAACUGCAAGAUGAAAUGGGAUAUAUUUGAACAACAAUUAUCCCAGUCUUUCCUUAAAAUGUCUUAUAUAAUCCUGUAGAACUUGUCAUUGCCACUGAUGCUUCUGUGUCAUGCUGUCUGCUGAGAGCCCUGUUAAAUAUUUACUGUUAUUCUUGCAGGUGAACAUCUCUCCUGAUACCUCCUGCAUUUCACUCACCUAUUAGUCUUGCCUCCUUACAGUAGAACAUCUCCCCCUUCCAACAGGUCCACAAGCAACAGAAACGUCAGCGUCUCAUGCUGUCAAAGGUUGCACAACGGUAAAAGUCAUGCCACUGUACACUGUUUUAAACCACAUGCUUUUUACAGUGUAUCUACACAGAUCUUUGAACAAGAGUGGGUCAUCUAGGUAUCCCUGCUAUCCAGGCAACAGCAUACAUGCAGCACCAGAAGAAGCCAACUCCAAGGCUGUAUGGGAAAGGAAUGGGUAGUAUCAGGGCCUCAAUCCAGCAGGUUCUGCUUUUCUCUCUCUCAGUUCUGCUAGUUGCCCUGUAAGUGAUGCUAAGGGCUAUCCUUUCUCAUCCAAGAACAGCUUACAGCCAUUUGGGAAAAACUUCUAUCAGCAGCUCUAUCCUCUGUCUGGUUUUCCUAAAGAAGAUACAGACGCCUUGGACUGGAUUAUCACAGCAGUGCAGGUGGGCAUGUUUUUCUGCCUAAACUUUACUGGCCCAUUGAAAGCUGCUCUGUGAUGAACCUAUACUGUUGGUGUGAAAAGCAAGGACUGCUCACACGGUGUGUCUCUGGGAACGUAGAAACCAGCAAGAAUUGUGGCUCCACUGCUCUGGUUCCCUGUGGAGCUGCUGGAGAGGCUCACUGCUCAGAUCUGGUUGUUGUUGGCCAUUGAGUGCCCCUACGUGGGAAAGCGGUGCUUCGAUAUUGUGGAAACUGCCUGUGGGAAGGUGUCGAUUCUCACAGCAUUUCGGAGAAGGCACAAGGCUUUCCAGCUUAUUGAAACGUUUGUUUUGACUUUUAUAAUAUAGUACAAAAGCCUUCAAGUUUUGUCUAUUAAAUUGCUGUGCCAAAAUAUUAUGACGGGUCACGGAAUAAUAGUCUUACUGUUUUGACUCUAAAGCGUGCUACGACAUGGGUCAAGCUGAUGAAAUCAAAAUGAAAUUACUGUUUUGUUUUGACAAGAUUGUGUUUCUUUUCCAUUUGUUUGAUAAAGUCAAAGCAAAGAUCUCCGUUGGAUUUUUCCGCAGUAUGGCCUCAACGUUUCAUUUUCUCAUUCAGGUGUGGGUUUUGAAUGGAACAUAAUGUUUUGUGCCCAGAUCAUAGAGGGAAAGAUGCAUGUGGGUAGCACCUCAGAGUCACAGUUCAGCCCCGAUUUUCUGAGGACUGUACCCAUUGCUUCAUCAGCUUUAGCAAAGAGAUCUUUGUGAAAGUUCAAUCUUGGCCUGCGGUGUUAGUGUCGUACUUUGAGCUAUGCCACCUUCUGCUGUUGUAGUUCCCAGUCACCCUCCCCUUCUGUUUAGCCACCUGGAACCCACUCCAGAAGCUGGCUGGGAAGAAGUACCUCCUGAAAACUCAUCCUUUGUGACCUGCUGAGUCAGGAAGCCUCUAAAAUAUAGAAUAAAACUGUCCUUAGACCAUAGAGCCCAAUGGUGCAGAUGUGCGGCAGCCAGUCUUGUCCAUCUCUCAUGCAUGUGGCAUCCCUGAAUCUAUUCCCAAACCUUGCUGCUCCCCUGUGAUGUUAGGAGAGUGCCCAUUCCUGCUUUCCCCUCCCAAGCUCUGUCUGGUUGGACUGGGGUGUUUCCCGGGCUGAAACUCUGGCUUGCCUAUAUUGUGUGCAAAGUACCUGGAGCAUGAUGGAGAUCUCACACUAUGCUUCUGGUGACAGACCUGACACAUACCUGAAGUGCCCGUUGGCCCGCAGCCAGUGGAAAGUUCCCUUUCUCACCUGGAUGCAGUCAGAGCGGUGGCCAUGUAAAAAAUGGCACCACCUCCCGCCAGGUGUGAGCGGCCGAGAACAGCACCUACCUGGCAAAGCAUUCGAGCGUGGAGACAUUUUCCCAAUGAUCUACGUCAACAGAUGACUGAAGGCUUGGUCUUAUAUCCCUGCACUGAGCUGGGCAGUGAGGCUCUUCCUGGACUAUGGCCUUGGACCUGCUUUUAGAACAGCCUCAGGACCCACCUUACUCAGUGCUAAAGGAUUCCCGUUCUGGCUCAGGCCUGAAGGCAAAUGGUUGAAGACAGUGUUAUCUUGCCAAUUUUUUUUUUCUUUUGUUAUUUUCUCCAAUAACGAGAAACUUGUGGGGGAGGUUUUCUUUCUUUUCCAUUCCAUGGGAGUUUGGUAACUAGUCAAACUGCUAGGUCAGCAACAAUAUGUGCCAAGCCUAACCAGAAUCAGAGAGAGGCCAAACAUACUUGAAGAGGGAACUGAAGAGGGUGACAUCUGUUUGUGUCUAGGAUCCCCUCUGCCAACCAGAUAGAGGUGACCCUCUUCACCAGUCCCAUGGUUUUGCCAGUUCAUCAUCCUAAUAGAGAUCCGUGCAGAUGUUUUACAAGAAGGAAUGAUUUUCUUCAGAAAUUCCAAUGGGGAGGCUUCAGCUGUGAAGGCCUUUCUGUGCCUCUUAGAUGCCUAUGUUCUUUGUCUAGCAGAUACAGUGAUGAAUCCUGGGGAGAAGUAAACAGAAGAGAUAAAGUCUCUGAAGCCCGGAGCUUAUUUGGCUGGUGUCUGUUUAAAUGCCACACAACAAAGCUUUAUUAGCACAAAGCAGCAAGGUCUGCAUGUGGCCAGAAGUCUCUCCUGCCUGUUGUCUCUGCAUAGUCCAUGUACUCACUCCUUAUCCCUGGUUUAUACAGCUGGUCCGAAGACCACCCCAGGUAACAAAGAAAACAACAGCUCUUGAAAGAUCUGCUGGGAAUAGGAAGAUGUCGUAUUAUUUACCCGGCUGGAUUUAUGCAUGUGUGCAUGUGUUUAACAAGGAGCCCGGUGCCUGCUGGACUCCUGAGGCUGGAAUUUAUACAGGCCAGCAUUUGGCUGCUGCAGUUUAUCUUGAAUGCUAGAAUAAUAAACUCAGCUGACAGGAUGAUGUAUGCAAAGCAUCUUCUCCUCCCACGGCGUGCGGUAGAGGUGUCUGGUUUGCAGGGAGUCCUAUUAUUAAGUGAUUAUCCUUGCAACAUUAUCAAUAUCAGAUUGCUUAAGGGCUUUGGGGGACCAGCAGUACAGUAGGAGUUUAUGUUUAUCCAUCAUAAUGGCAGUCAGAUGCGGAGGGUGCUGUGAGAACGUUACCUGUGUAGGUGAAAUGGACGUAUGGGUUUGCCACAUGGAGAGUCCAAAAUUUUUGCAAAAGAACACAAAGCUACACCUUUAUCGUUGUUAGUUUCAUUACGAGUUAACUUCUGCUGCAUUGUUUUAAUGUCCCUCAUUGUUUCUUCCUUUCUUGUCAGAUUAUUGUCUCUUGUUCAGAAAGAACAAAAACAAAAAGUCCCAAGCGCCACCGAAUAUGGUAUUUUCUUGACUUUUCAGGGAAGGCCAAUUUAUCCACCCCUAAUCACGUUUCAGCAUCCAGACAGCUGCAGACUCCUCCGUGUGAGUCUGCCAGUUCAGCUGGCGCUCUGGUACCUCAAGAAGACCAGGUCUUUGGAUCCUUUGUCAUACCCUGAAAGGAUGCCGAACAGACCAUAGAAUCAUUAAGGUUGGAAAGACCACUGAAUCAUCUAGUCCAACCACUGACCCAUGCCAAUGACCACACUAGACCAUGUCCCUCAGUGCCACAUCUACACUGUUCUUGAACACCUCCACGGACAGUGACUCCACCACCUCCCUGGGCAGCCUGUGCCACUGCCUCACCAUAGGAAACAUCACCUCGCUGUACUGGAUAUGUUUCACCCUGAAUAGCCUUCAAGACCCACAUCUUAAAAGGCAGAUCAAGCACUUCAGAGAACCUUACUAGCACCAGUGGUUUGUCUGUCUGCCUGUUGGUAUCAUCCCUGUCCUGCCCUACUGCUGCAUUGCUCCUCCACCUCCCCUCUGCUUGUGGCAUCCCUCAGCCGUGUGUCAGCCAAGAGCUGCCCUAAAGCUCUGCGAGCAACAAGUGACACCAGCAGGCAUUAAGCCUGAGCUCUAUCAGCAUGGUGUACGAUAUACCACUGCGGUGACUGGUAUUUUUGACGCCUUGUGAAGCCACACUUGAAACUGUAGCACCCCAGAAGGAUCCUUCGCUGACCUGUGCUGAUGCAAACAGCAACAGCAGAGACGCAUUAAGUCUGCAUACACAUCUACCAGGUAUAACGCUCUAUAUUGUUAGAUGUCACAAUCAUAGGAAGUAUAAAUACCACAUGCCCUGCAUGUGACACAGCUGCUCCACCUGUGCUUAAGCCCUGGACUGUGGCAGCAGGGAGGACAGCAGGCAACAGCAGCUGUGUUGCAGAUCUCACCUGCUUCCAGAGGGAGUGAACCUCAAAUUCUGCAUAUCCAGCUGACUGAGAAAAUACCUGCUGCCUGGAAGGUCCCCAGUGGACCAGGAAAAGAACCAGUCACUUGCACUCUAAACAACAUCAAAAAGUUCCACUGUGGCUGCCCAGGAGGCAAUCGGUCAUAUUGCUCUGGGUUCACUAGUUCACCUGAGACUGUCCUCCACAAAUAAAGGCAUACUGAUGCUCAGUCUGCU
ensembl:lncRNA